GGGGAUGACUAGUGACAGAGUGAGGGAAGGGGUGACUAGUGGCAGAGUGAGGGAAGGAAGGGGUGACUAGUGACAGAGUGAGGGGAUGACUGGUGACAGAGAGGGAGGUGGUGACUGUCACUAGUCACCCCAUCCCUCCCUCUGUCACUAGUCACCCCCUCCCUCUGUCAUUGUGUCACCCCAUUCCUCCCUCUGUCAUUGUGUCACCCCAUUCCUCCCUCUGUCACUGUGUCACCCCAUUCCUCCCUCUGUCACUGUGUCACCCC